AGAGCAUGCCGAACGGCCGCUGGAUCUCGAAUCAGAGAUCGGGAGGAAAGUCCGAACAUCGCAGGGCAGGGUGCUCCAUAACGUGGAGUCACGGCAACGUGAAGGAAAGUGCAACAGAGAGCAGACCGCCCGGCACUCAACAGAUUUAUUCUGAAACAGAAGUACUGAAAUUGGCAUUUUCGUUUAAUGGAUCCUGAUUUGAAAUUAAUCUGUUGAGUGCCGGGCAAGGGUGAAACGGUGCGGUAAGAGCGCACCAGUUCUUCGGGUGACCGGAGAAGCUAUGUAAACCCCACCCGAUGCAAGACCAAAUAGGGAAGUGUUUGAGGGUUGCCCGCCUGAGCUUCCGGGUAGGUCGCUUGAUAUUCCUGGCAACAGGGAUACUAGAUGAAUGGCCGUUGACCGUUUCAAGGGUAACCGGAUGCGGUAACAAAAUUCGGCUUACAGGCAGCUCUGACC
rnacentral:RNase_P_RNA from 1 species